AUAAGAUUAGCUGAAUCCAAUCAAGUGAUGAAGGAAUCUAGGUGGGAGAUUAGGGAAUACAGCGACGCAACUCUGAUGAAAACAGGUGAAGAAAAUUACAAGCAAAUUAGAUAAGCAUUUAGCUCUCCUCGGGAGACUCAGUUUAUAGCCAAGUGGAUCCCAUUUGUAGGACGUGGGCUCAGCACACCCUGAAGGCUGACCGGUUGAAAAGGCUUAUCCUGCCCGUCAGGAAAGCAAGAACUCUCAAGUCGACAGUCUAGCUCCUGAGCUCAUAUGUGGACUUAAAUCUCUGGUUAAUGAGAAAGGCCGUUCAGUAAGAAGGUAGCUCCAAUGUACUGGGAAUUAUAAAACUGCUCCCUCAUCAGGCUUCUCUACAUUGGCCUUAGAAGUGACAAACCUUCAGAAAUAGCAGGCACCUACCCGUGGCCCAUCCAAACAAGAGUAAGCAAACUGCACCAUCUUGAAUCUUUCUCUCGUGAUCUUUAUGAGUUAAUACAGAUGUGAUCUAAGCAAGACAGAAUAAAAUAGACUUUGAAGAGUUUUUCUUAUCAUAAAAGGGCUCAUUCAGAUUUUUGCCAUAAUGAAUCAGAAACAUUCAUUAUGUAAAAAAUAAAGAUGGAUGCAAAACUCUGUAAAGAACUUUUAUGAAUGUCUACAAAUGGAUUCAGUAUUUAUCCAGAAACCAUUGGCAGAAUCUGAAGUUUUUCAUGAUCAGAAAAACAUAGUCAAAUACAUGUUGUCAUAAUUGCAGAUGCUCCAUUUAGGGUUAAAACUAGGUUGUUAAAGUUUAUAUUAAUUCUUUCUGCAGUCCUGACAAAUUCGAGAGUAAUUUGUAGAGACCGUGUUGUAUGAAAGAUAUUCAGGUUCCUAGAUCUAAGAACACCUGCGAGGAUUAUGAUAGCUGGAGAUUUCUUAAAUGAAAGCAAGAGUGAAUUUCUUUGUGUUGUUCCAGAAAAGAAAAUGAACGUGUCAUUGAAGGUAAAGUCUCCAGAAGAAUUCCUGGCACAAAUACUGAAAAUGUAAUUUUAGGGCUCUGCCUUGCCUCUGUUCUUAAGUGCUCCUCCUCUCGUAGGCACAUAGACCAGAGACACACACCUGUUGAAUGAUGCUAAUUUGCUGGCUGUGUUUACAGAAGAUGACCCUGCUCUCUUGGUUCCAACUAAUUGUACCAGGGGCCACAUGUCUCGGAUUCCCUUUCUCAAAAACCGAAAGAAGGAAAUUAUAGUCAGAUGGCUGGGGACAGUGGAACUGGCCACAAGAUCAGAGUUGGCUCAAUGGCAAGUCAGUGCUACUGGAGCCUGUCAGAUGAAUCCAGUCUAUAAAAAUAAGAAAGAAGCAGAUGUUCGGGGAGAAGAAGAGAGAUACAUGGGAAGCCCUUUCAUCAGCCCCUGGGACAGCACUGCCUGCCACAAUCGUUGAUCACUCCACGUCAGAAAAUUGAGAGCUGUGAGGCAGGGAGCGGGAGAGAGAAGCAAUGCCAGCUGCUAUGUGGGGAGUCCUUACUAUGUGCCUGGCCCAGGAGGAAAGAACCGGAUGGCUGAUUUCACUUUAUCUUUUCAACAACCCCGUAGAACAGAUACAACUAUUAGCCCCACUUUACAAGUUGAGAAAACCGAGACUUGCCCAUCAUCAGAGACCUAUUUUGGCAAAUCUGGCAUAUGUGGUCAUGCGUCAGGGUGGACUUUGUGGGGAGGCCUAUAUUUACCAGAGUGACUCUGAAAUUUACCUGCACUCCCAGUACCAUGCACAAACGUGGGCAGAAGUGAGACCGCAGAUCCAGACCCUUCCAGCGUGGGUGUAGACAGGAACCAGGAGCCUCAUGCACCCCAAGAUUGCAGUUACCUAAAUUCAUUUUGAAAAGAGGCGCCAAUUUUCUCCUCCCAUUGUGGCUGCCUCAGCGUGUGUUUGGCAAUUCUGAUUAAUUUCAUAUCUUAUAUUGGCUAGUUUUGUUCUAAUCCCUUUGUAGUGUGCUGGAGCCAGCUUGUAUGACUACUUGUUAAAUUUUCAGGAAAUUUGUGAGCCAGUUGUUGAGCACAGCAAUUAUUAAAAAUUAAGUUAUGUAAACUUGAAAUUAAACAAAUUGUAUUGAAAACAAAGGUAAUAAAUAUUCAAAUUCAUUUCCUCUAAUUACUGCAUUUUACUAUGAUCUAUGCCCUUGAGGUUAUUCAUUAUUUAUUGCCCUUGAGGUUAUUCUAUUAUGUCUGCAUAGGGAAAAAACUAUAAAGUGAUAUGCUACUGUGCUUAUCUUCCCAACUCGGCAUUCAGUGAUGUCACAUGUAGCUUGAAAUUGGCCACGGUCGGAAUCAGCAAACACUACAAGUCAGGACUUUUUUUCUAGGAGAGGAGGAUGGUGGUUAAACUUUUACCCGUACACCACUGAGUAGACAUCUUGUUUUUCAUUGUGUCAGUAUCUCUUACUUCCUAUCGUCUGAACUGCUUCCU
ensembl:lncRNA